GCGAGCUUGCCUUUCAGAGAAUGAUGUUUCACUGGAUUUUUAGUACUGAGAUUCUUUCUCAAAGCUGGCAUUGAUUGCCCCUUAUCUUGUGUCUUUAAAGGUUAUAACUUCAUUACAAGCUGAUCUUUUUUCUGGACCCAAUUGUAAACGGAAAGUUCGUUUGAGAUAUAAUGCUCUAGUUCUGAGUUUGUAAAUGGCUGGAAAUGGGAGAUUUAACUUAACUCCAGCUAGCAGUGACUCGGGUUUUGUUGGAAGCUACACCAAUGGGCCUAAGGGGAGCUAUAUGGGUCCCAGUAUGGACAGGUCUGGGAGCUUCAGAGAGAGUUCAGACACCCGUAUAUUUGGUUCUGGGAAGGGUGCAUCCCGGGGAACUGGUGCAGUCGUGGGCGAUUUGCCUUCCCUGUCACAAUGCCUGAUGCUGGAGCCAAUUGUAAUGAGUGACCAAAAAUAUACUCGUUCAGGCGAGUUGAGGAGAAUUUUGGGCUUUACUGUUGGGAGCACUUCAGAAAAUUCUUUUGGUGCUGCUCAUUUGAAGUCUCCACUUCAUUUUGGUGAUGAAUUAAAGAAGUUCAGAGAUAGUGUUGCAGAGUCGUGCAACAAAGCUAGUGGUAGAGCUAAAAAGCUUGACGAACACUUGCAUAAGCUGUCAAAAUAUUCUGAAGGCAUACCUUCUAAGAAACAACAGAGGAAUGAGCAGUUAACAAAUGAGAGAUUAGGUGGUUCAAGAACACAGAUACAUCGAGGCCCUUCAGAUCUUGUAACACAGAAGAUAGAGGAGCGGCUGAAGAAUAGUACUCUUAACAAGCGUGUACGCACAUCAGUGGCAGAAACUCGGGCGGAGUACCGGAAUAGUGCUCUAUCCAGGCAGCCUAUGAUAGUGAAAGAUCGAGACAUGUUAAAAGAUAGCAAUGCCGAUUCUGAUAUGUCCGAAGAAAAGAUUCGCAGAUUGCCAGCUGGAGGUGAAGGUUGGGACAAAAAAAUGAAAAGGAAACGAUCAGUUGGUGCUGUCAUUUCAAGGCCCUUGGAGAAUGAUGGAGAGCCUAAACGAAUGCAGCACCAUAGACUUGCCAGUGAACCUGGCUUGUCACCUUCUGAUUCCCCUGGUUUCAGGUCGGGAAUAUCAAAUGGUGCUGGUAGCAUUAAUAAGUCAGAUGGCUCAUCACUUGCUGGUGUUAAUGCUCGUACAAUGCUUAAAAAUGAACAGGAUAAGUCUGCUCUUUCUAGGGAUCCAACUGCUGGUUUGAAUAAAGAGCGGGUGCUGGGAAAAGGAAGCAUUAAGUUGAAUAGUCAUGAGGAGAACCAUGCUGUCUGUCCCAGUCCAAUAGCAAAAGGGAAGGCCUCAAGGGCACCACGGAGUGGCUCCCUUGCUGCUGCUAAUUCACCCUCUAACAUUCCCCGUUUACCUGGAACCUUGGAAAGCUGGGAACAGCCCCCAAAUGUCAACAAAAAUCUUGCUGUAGGUGGGGUCAAUAAUCGCAAACGUCCAUUACCCACAGGAUCCUCGUCUCCACCCAUAACACAAUGGAUUGGUCAGAGGCCGCAAAAAAUUUCUCGUACAAGGAGGGCUAAUCUUAUCUCACCAGUUUCAAACCAGGACGAGGUGGAGGUGCCAUCAGAGGCAUGUUCACCUUCUGAUUUUGGAGCUAGGUUAACUCCUGGUGUAACAAGUGGUUCUAUUCUUUCAAAGGAUGCCAGCAAUCUUACGCAAAACCUUAAAGUUAAAGCUGAUAGUGUUUUAUCCCCUACCAGACUCUCUGACAGUGAAGAAUCUGGUGCUGGUGAAAGCAGAUUAAAAGAAAAGGGUGGUGUUACUUGUGAAGGUGAAGAAAAACCUGUAAAUACUGUUCAGAGUAAUGGGGUGUCUACCUCACAUAUGAAGAAGAACAAAUUUCUUGUCAAAGGAGAAACAGGUGAUGGCGUGCGUAGACAAGGCCGAAGUGGAAGAGGGUCGGCAUUUUCUAGGAGUAGCAUUUCUCCUACAAGGGAGAAGUUUGAAAAUCAAGUCACAGCGAAACCACUUCGUAACUCGAGGCCGGCUUCUGAAAAGCACGGAAGUAAGUCAGGCCGUCCUUUGAAAAAGCACUUGGAACGCAAAGGGUUUUCUCGUUUUGGGAAUCCUCUGAGCAGUGGUUCUCCUGAUUUCACUGGGGAAUCAGAUGAUGACCGCGAGGAGCUCCUAGCUGCUGCAAACUCGGCAUAUAAUGCAAGUAUUCAUGCAUGUCCAAGUGCAUUCUGGAAGACAGUGGAUAGACUUUUUGCUUCUGUCAGUGCAGAGGAGAAAUCCUACCUUCUGGAACAGCUGAAAUCAGCAGAGGAAUCUCAUGCUAAUCUGUCUCAAACUCUAAAUCGUACCAAUAAUGUUCUGGGUGGUCAUGCUCAUGAUGGAACUUCUGUUUCUGAUUCUCCAUCUGUUGAGAAGAACAGAUGCAUCAAUAAUCAAAAUGGCUCGAAAGUGUCAUCUGAUACAGAACUGGUCGAUCAAUUUCAUGAUUCUAUUCUAAGUGCGAAAGUUGACUCAGAUAGAAUAUUUGACAAAGUUACUCCACUUUACCAAAGAGUACUGUCAGCUCUAAUUGUAGAGGAUGACAUUGAAGAAUGUGAAGAAAAUGGGUUUGACUUAUUUAUGUCACCACAGAAUGGUCCAGAAACUUUAUUGCAUGGUGUCAUUGAUUCUCAGAGUAGAAAAAUGAAUAGGACUGAAGUUGAGUAUGAUACAGUUUUUAGUUCUCAGAUAAAGAAAAAUGGGACUGGUAAUGAGUUUGUUUCCUGCAAUGGGUAUGGUGUGUAUCAUCGAAACCCUGAUGUCCAAGGACCUCAAUACAGUGAUGAGAUGUCACGAGGAAAUAAUGGAUAUUUGCAUUCAGAGGUUGGGCUGUUUGUAGGCCUUUCUGAAUGUGAUACGGAUGUACCUCAAAGGUUGCAGAUUAACAGUUUCGGUAUUUCCUCAUUUGAACGUCAAUAUGCACAGAUGGCUUUUGAUGAUAAACUCUUGCUAGAAUUGCAGAGCAUUGGCCUUUAUAUUGAACCUGUGCCUGGUUUAGAUGAUAAAGAAGAUGAAGUCAUCAACCAGGAAAUUAUGCAGCUGGAGAAGGGACUCUAUCAAGAGAUUGGUAAAAAGAAAACAUAUAUGGAGAAAAUAUCUAAAGCAAUUCAAGAAGGCAAAGACUUGGAAGGAUGGGACCCUGAGCAGAUUGCAAUGAAUAAACUUGUUGAGCUAGCUUACAAAAAGCUCUUGGCGACUCGAGGAACUUUAGCUUCCAAAAAUGGGAUUCCUAAGGUGUCAAAACCGGUUGCAUUGUCUUUUGCAAAGAGAACACUUUCCAGGUGUAGGAAGUUUGAGGAUAGUAGAACUAGUUGCUUUAGCGAGCCAGUGCUCCAUGACAUUAUUUUUGCCGCACCUCCUCGUAUUAAUGAGGCAGAUCUUUUGGCUGGCUCGUGCCCUGUUAGAGCUGAUGGUGUUCUGGUUGAUCCAUAUGAAAGGUUCAAUCAUCAAUCUGAUCAUGCUUUUGCUAAAAAUGGGCCGAUAAUAAAUAGAGGGAGGAAAAAAGUACUGCUUGAUGAUGUUGGCGCUGGUGCUGCUUUCAGAGCCACUUCUACUCUUGGUGGAACUCUUCUAGGUGGUGCCAAAGGAAAGAGAAGCGAAAGAGAUAGGGAUUCUUUAGCGAGAAAUGCAAAUGCAAAAGCUGGGCGUUCACUGGGGAAUUCCAAGGGUGAGCGCAAAACAAAAACAAAGCCCAAACACAAGACAGCUCAGCUUUCUACAUCCGUUAGUGGAUCUUUUAACAAAUUCACGGGGAUCACGACACAUCCAGUUUACCCUUCUGCUAAUGGUUCUGGAGAAUUGGUCAAUGCCAGUGGUAACAGAAAAAGAGAGGGUGAUGUUAAUUCAUCAAUGGAGAGGAAAGAAUCUGCUGACGGCAUGAAUUUGCCACUGAAUGACAUUGAUGCGAUAGAAGAUCUAGGAGUAGAAUCUGAUCUUGGGGCGCCUCAAGAUUUCAAUUCUUGGUUCAACUUUGAUGUUGAUGGUUUGACAGAAGAAAAUGGUGACGGACUUGAAAUACCAAUGGACGACCUUUCUGAGUUAAAUAUGUUUUGACAGUGUGACUGCUCAUUGUACAUUCUUAUGGACUAUUUAACUGUUCAGUAGAGAAAGAUCUUUUGCUUGUUCAAGAAAUGAUAGGUUAAGAGAUCUCUGGCCAAGUAGCACUUGUAAUUAUGGCCAUUUUUGUAUACUUAUUUGAAGGGAAUGCUAGAAAGUCCUCAUUGUUUAAAUUCAGGCAAUGUUUCCUUGUAAACUAAUUAGCAAAGAUUGCAAGGGCAAUUUUGUUUGAUCAUCUUUUGUAGUGUUUCCUGAUCCUUUUCCUAAUUUAUUGCUGUUUUGACAUU
rnacentral:misc_RNA from 1 species